GACGAACGCUGGCGGCGUGCCUAAUACAUGCAAGUAGAACGCACAGUUUAUACCGUAGCUUGCUACACCAUAGACUGUGAGUUGCGAACGGGUGAGUAACGCGUAGGUAACCUGCCUGGUAGCGGGGGAUAACUAUUGGAAACGAUAGCUAAUACCGCAUAAUAUUAAUUAUUGCAUGAUAAUUAAUUGAAAGGUGCAAUUGCACCACUACCAGAUGGACCUGCGUUGUAUUAGCUAGUAGGUGAGGUAACGGCUCACCUAGGCGACGAUACAUAGCCGACCUGAGAGGGUGAUCGGCCACACUGGGACUGAGACACGGCCCAGACUCCUACGGGAGGCAGCAGUAGGGAAUCUUCGGCAAUGGACGAAAGUCUGACCGAGCAACGCCGCGUGAGUGAAGAAGGGUUUCGGAUCGUAAAGCUCUGUUGGAAGAGAAGAACGGGUGUGAGAGUGGAAAGUUCACACUGUGACGGUAUCUUACCAGAAAGGGACGGCUAACUACGUG
rnacentral:rRNA from 1 species